rnacentral:rRNA from 1 species
UACGAAGGGUGCAAACGUUGCUCGGAUUCAUUGGGCGUAAAGGGUGUGUAGGCGGCGCCGUAAGUCGGGUGUGAAAUUUCGGAGCUUAACUCCGAAACUGCAUUCGAUACUGCCGUGCUUGAGGACUGGAGAGGAGACUGGAAUUUACGGUGUAGCGGUGAAAUGCGUAGAUAUCGUAAGGAAGACCAGUGGCGAAGGCGGGUCUCUGGACAGUUCCUGACGCUGAGGCACGAAGGUCAGGGGAGCAAACGGG